AUAUAUAUCUAUACUACUUUAUAAAACAUAUUAGAAGGAUAGAAUGGUCUUUUGCCACUUUACAAGUCUUUAAAGCCCAAUGUACACACCUGUUAAGCACAAGUGUUGAAAACUUGUUUUCCAUGUUGAAAACUUGUUUUCCACCUGGUACCCACGCGGAUCAUAUAAUGGUUACCUUGACCCGUUUUUAGUUUAUGGAUCCUAUAUAAAGUUUCAUUCAAUCUAUCUAUCCACAUAUUUCGUUUCAUCCAUCCAGACACUCACGUUUCUCUACAAACCCUAACCCUAACCUUCAUUUCCUCCACCGCUCCUCCACCGCUCCUCCACAACUCCUCCAUCGUUGAAGACAUCAGAUCCGACACCAGAUCCGACACAACAUCGAUUUCUAUGGCUUCUUUCCCGGUGGCUUUACAAGAUCCAACACUAUCUCAAGAGAUCCGACACUAUUUCAGGAUCUUUCUUUUGGUUGUGGGUUCGUCAACGAUGGUGCUUGUGGUAGAUCUGUUCUUUGUAGUAGAUCUGUUCUUUGUAGUAGAUCUGUUCUCGGUUAACGAAUUUGACUGUGGUUAACGAGGUUUAACGAGGGUUAUUUGUAGUAGAUCUGUUCUUUGUAGUAGAUCUGUUCUUUGUAGUAGAUCUGUUAUUUGUAGUAGAUCUGUUAUUUGUAGUAGAUCUGUUUUUUGUGGUAGAUCUGUUCUUUGUAGUAGAUCUGUUCUUUGUAGUAGAUCUGUUCUUUGUAAGUAGACCUGUUCUUGAUUUUUUGUUUAAAUUUAUAGAAUUUGACUGUGGUUAACGAGGGUUUAUUUUUUUGUUUAAUUGUUUAAAUUUUUUGUAGUAGAUCUGUUCUUUGUAGUAGAUCUGUUGUUUGUAGUAGAUCUGUUCUUUGUAAGUAGAUCUGUUCUUGAUUUUUUGUUUAAAUUUAUAGAAUUUGACUGUGGUUAACGAGGGUUUAUUUUUUUGUUUAAAUUUUUUGUUUAUUAACCAGGGUUUAUUUUUUUUGUUUAAAUUUUUUGUUUAUUUACUAGGGUUUAUUUGACUGUGGUUUAAUUUUUUUGGUUACUGGUUUGGAUAUUUUGUCUGUGAUUGUUAGGGAGUUCAUUAAAAAUGUUUUUUAGUUGGAUAAGUCCAAACUAGGGUUACUGGUUUAGUUGUUGAAAAAAUUAUUUGAAUGUUAUUUAAAUUUUUUAUUAAUAUUUAUAUUUAUUUGAAUGUUGUCUAUGAGGGACAUGGUGGACCGGAGACGUCAAGAUUCGUUAACGAGAAUCUGUUUGCUAAUCUCAAGAGAUUUGCGUCUGAGGAUCAAGAUAUGUCUGCGAAUGUUAUCAAGAUAUAGCGUAACCGGUCUGACAUUCAAGAGGUGUAUUACAGUGAAGAGACACAUAAGUUUUCAGUGUCAGCAAUAGAGGAAAGUGUGAAGUUAGAAGGAAGAAUGACCUUUCCUCUUUGGACAGCACUUACAUAGUUGAUCAUGUGUUUUUCUGUGAACGGUUUUAUGAUCCCGAUAAGGGAUCUCUCAAGCAGGUAGUUUCACCUGUCCAUUCUAUGUCCAUUCUGAAAGUGUUUGAGGCUGUGAUGCAAAAGCUGAGCUUGUGUUCUUAAUCUGUCUGAACUGAAAGUGUCGAGUCUAUGAUGCAUAAGCUGAGCUUGUGUUCUUAAUAUGUCUGAACUGAAACUGUUAAGGCUAUGAUGCAUAAGCUAAGCCUGUGAGGUUACAUAUGUGUUUCUUGUGCUUAAAACACUUUUACAUCAUGCUUU